CCUACGGGGGGCAGCAGUGAGGAAUAUUGGUCAAUGGCCGAGAGCCUGAACCAGCCAAGUAGCGUGAAGGAUGACUGCCCUACGGGUUGUAAACUUCUUUUAUAAAGGAAUAAAGUGAGGCACGUGUGCCUCUUUGUAUGUACUUUAUGAAUAAGGAUCGGCUAACUCCGUGCCAGCAGCCGCGGUAAUACGGAGGAUCCGAGCGUUAUCCGGAUUUAUUGGGUUUAAAGGGAGCGUAGAUGGGUGGUUAAGUCAGGUGUGAAAGUUUGCGGCUCAACCCUAAAAUUGCAUUUGAUACUGGCAGUCUUGAGUACAGGUGAGGUAGGCGGAAUGCGUGGUGUAGCGGUGAAAUGCAUAGAUAUCACGAAGAACUCCGAUUGCGAAGGCAGCUUACUAAACUGCCACUGACAUUGAUGCACGAAAGUGUGGGUAUCGAACAGGAUUAGAUACCCUAGUAGUC
rnacentral:rRNA from 1 species